UACUUUUACUUGACUCUGAGAUUUCAGUACUUUAUACAACACUGCUGGAAAUGGGCUUCACUCAUCAUACUGACCACUUAGUAUGGUGACCAGAACCAUGGUCACCAUUUCACACUCACAUCUGUAUUGGCAGGCAACUUACUGUCUUGUACAAGAGCACAAUAUGUGACAGGAGGAGGAGAGAGUCAAACCCACAACUUUCUGAUCCCAAGUUGACUAUUUUACUGACUGAUCCAAAGACCACACCUUGAAUUCAAAGAAAUAUUUCUCAUUCUUAAUUCACUUUUCACAUUUCGUCAUGUUUCAUCCUCAAAUUUCAGUGUAUUCUAUUUGGAUUUUAUCAGACAGACAUCAUAUAAAAGCACUUCAUUCUGAAGAUCAAUGACUCAGAACGUCUCAGAUUUUUCAUGAGUAUUGCUGCAUGAAUUUGUAUGUGUAAAACAAGUGCUGCCUCAAUUCCAGCUGCGAAUCCUUUGAGUUUUUAAAAGAGUGUUUUACUUUAUGUUUUGCACAAAUUCCCAGUGUUGGGUUCUGCAGGGGAGUGGUUUUCUUCUCCUUCACAGGGUGGCAGGUUGAUGGGAUCCAGCUGUUAUUCAUCACCACCAGUCUGCAAGGUCCUUAAAGAGGAGCAGCUUCCCGGAAGCAGAUGCCAGAUGGUUCCGCUACUACAGUGUGAACCCGCGCUGAACACUCUCUGAACCAUGACUCACCUGAAGUAUCUGAUCCUCGCUGCUCCAUUGGGCCUUGCACCUGGGUGCGUCACGCCCGCCACUCAGCUGCUGCCUGUCCACCCUCAAUCACCUGCUGGAACUUCCCCAUCUGGAAAACCACCACAUCACACCAACUGUUGGACCCCCAUGUACUCUCCUCUGCUUACCUACCCGCAGACCAUAAGUCACCAUCAGGUUACUCUGUCAUUCCCUUCAUUACUUCCCUCUUUAACCGUUCGCCCUUUGCAGUUCCUCCGCUGGCCCGGUUCCUCCCUCCUGACGCAGAUCGACGCCCCUCCACACGCUCUCCAGCACAUUCUAUUGCUAAAUAAAUCUGCUAAAACUG